AGCAGCCGCCACGGUAAUACGGAGGGAGCUAGCGUUGUUCGGAAUUACUGGGCGUAAAGCGCACGUAGGCGGCUUUGUAGGUUAGAGGUGAAAGCCUGGAGCUCAACUCCAGAACUGCCUUUAAGACUGCAUCGCUUGAAUCCAGGAGAGGUGAGUGGAAUUCCGAGUGUAGAGGUGAAAUUCGUAGAUAUUCGGAAGAACACCAGUGGCGAAGGCGGCUCACUGGACUGGUAUUGACGCUGAGGUGCGAAAGCGUGGGGAGCAAACAGGAUUAGAUACCCCAGUAGUCCCUGUCUCUUAUAC
rnacentral:rRNA from 1 species